CCUACGGGGUGCAGCAGUCGAGAAUCAUUCACAAUGGGGGAAACCCUGGUGGUGCGACGCCGCGUGGGGGAAUGAAGGUCUUCGGAUUGUAAACCCCUGUCAUGUGGGAGCAAAUUAAAAAGAUAGUACCACAAGAGGAAGAGACGGCUAACUCUGUGCCAGCAGCCGCGGUAAUACAGAGGUCUCAAGCGUUGUUCGGAAUCACGGGGCGUAAAGCGUGCGUAGGCUGUUUCGUAAGUCGUGUGUGAAAGGCGCGGGCUCAACCCGCGGACGGCACAUGAUACUGCGAGACUAGAGUAAUGGAGGGGGAACCGGAAUUCUCGGUGUAGCAGUGAAAUGCGUAGAUAUCGAGAGGAACACUCGUGGCGAAGGCGGGUUCCUGGACAUUAACUGACGCUGAGGCACGAAGGCCAGGGGAGCGAAAGGGAUUAGAUACCCUUGUAGUC
rnacentral:rRNA from 1 species